AAGACUCGAAGAAGGAGCAUAUAAUAGUGAAUCGUAGAAUACAUUUUUAGAUAAAAGUUUCGAAAAGAGUAUAGUCGGGCGGAAGUUCCGGUAUCAGCUUUUAACGAAUGGUAUGAACAGAUCGGAGCAUUUAUACUAACAGAAUAAGUGUUUUCCAAGUAAAAAAAAAAAAAUAUAUGUGUAUCAUUACGAAGCUAAAAAAAUCUUAUACCCGGAAUUUAAAACCGAGAGGCAAAUCGGUUUCGAUAAAAAAAAAAAAAAAAAAAACCGCAUUAGAAAUUUAAAAUGCCGGCAAGUGGAACCGAGUUAUAUGAAAUAUAUAUAUAUAUAAAUAUAUCGGAACGGUUAACGAGAUUUCCGAGCCGGGCGUAAAUGAAACGUUUUCGUCGUUAUUUUUGUACACAUCGGUUUUACGUG